rnacentral:rRNA from 1 species
GAUGAACGCUGGCGGCGUGCUUAACACAUGCCAGUCGAACGAAGCAUUUAAGACAGAUUACUUCGGUUUGAAGUCUUUUAUGACUGAGUGGCGGACGGGUGAGUAACGCGUGGGUAACCUGCCUCAUACAGGGGGAUAGCAGCUGGAAACGGCUGGUAAUACCGCAUAAGCGCACAGUACCACAUGGUACAGUGUGAAAAACUCCGGUGGUAUGAGAUGGACCCGCGUCUGAUUAGCUAGUUGGCGGGGUAACGGCCCACCAAGGCGACGAUCAGUAGCCGACCUGAGAGGGUGACCGGCCACAUUGGGACUGAGACACGGCAGACUCCUACGGGAGGCAGCAGUGGGGAAUAUUGCACAAUGGAGGAAACUCUGAUGCAGCGACGCCGCGUGAGUGAAGAAGUAGUUCGCUAUGUAAAGCUCUAUCAGCAGGGAAGAUAGUGACGGUACCUGACGAAGAAGCGCCGGCUAAAUACGUG